UAGGGUUGUUAUGAAGAUUUAAACAAGAUAUGCUGAAAACACAUUACGCAAUACUGGAGUGAUAGAAGGAAGUCAAGGCACCAUUAUGACUCAGAUGAAAAAUCAGAAGCAAGAGAAAAUGGUGUUAUGGAUAACCUGGAUGCUCCCAAGCCCAAAAAAGCUAAAAUGAAAGAGAAGCUAAAUGGAGACACUGAGGAAGGAUUUAAUAGACUUUCAGAUGAAUUCUCUAAAUCUCAUAAGUCAAGAAGAAAA